UAAUUACGGCGCACAGCCGUCCGCUUGC
rnacentral:sRNA from 1 species